GUCAGGAUCGCCGAGCGGUCCAAGGCGCCAGACUCAAGUUUCCAAAUUUGCUCUGCUAAUGCGCACCCAAAGGACGUUCUGGUCCACUAAUGUGGGCGUGGGUUCGCAUCCCACUCCUGACA
rnacentral:tRNA from 1 species